ACGUCUCUCAUUCUCCUCCAUCCACUGUCUGCUCCACUACCAUUCCACUACAACUACCUCCUCUCUCUCGUACGAAAGAAAAAGAAAAUGACAAAAAAAAAAGGUAAUAAAAGUCAUUCACUAUUCACUCAGUCUCACACUCUCACCCUCAAAAAACCCUAGCCGCAAUUGCCUUCUCCCACUCUCACGCACCUCCGCCGCUCCCUCAAUCCAGCGCCGCCGCUUCAAUCCGUUACCUUCAUAACCAAACCCUCCUUCGAUUCCGUCACUCCCCCAAAACUUACCUCUCCACCAUUAAACCCUUACUCCAUCGCCGAUCAUCAUCUUCGCCGUCAAAACCCCAAAUCUCCCUCCAAACCCUACAUGCGUCGUAACCCCAACCGUUACUCACCUUCUGACCUUCAACCGGACACCUACAGCAAACACCCUCUUUCGGACUCUCUCCGAUCUACUUCUCAAGCAACGUCUUACUACUACCACUCCAACACCCUUCGAUUUUCACCUUUUGAGCAUUUCUCCGGCAAAAGAGCCAAUCCAUACAAGAGUAACACGAUACUGGUUUGAAAGAAGAACACGGUUCAUAUGUUCCUUCAUAAGAUACCCAGAUCAAAAGAUACAAAAGCGGAUUAACAGAGUGAGAUUGUGACUCUGCUCGAGAUACUCCCAAUCAGAAUCGUUUUACCCUUUUCAGCUUCGGGAAGCCCUUCGACGGUUUCUAUGAGGCUCGAUUUGAGGAGCUUAACAAGUUGACCGUUGUCGUUUUCUUUACGGAGUUUGUGAGAGAAGAAACCGUCACGUCCGAACAGCAACAACGAACUCAGGACAACAGCAAUGUAAUGAUUUGUUUGGGUGCACAUUUGAUUCUAGAUCGGAGUAUGUUUUCUGUGUUGGUUGUGGCAUCGAUGAACCCUAUUCUGUUUUAAUUAAACGUUAGAUACUUGAUGCGAUAAACAUGAUGCAGCGACAACAUCGAUAAAACACAGUCGGUAAUAUUUUUUCUUUCUUUUGGGUCGUGUUUGAUUGUUGUAUUAUCGCGAUUUAAAUUCUGUUUGGCUAUGUUGUUUUGACAUUUAAGGUCGUCUAAGAGUAGCAUGAUACUUGUGGUUUUCAUGUUUGAUUAAUCGGGUUCGUGUUGCUAAGGUUCAAAAGUUUUAUGACAAGGAUGAUAUUUGGUGGUGAUGGUGAAAAUUUUUAACUUAUUGUCGAGCUUCAUGACCAUGUUAAUUGAUUUGUUUUCAUUUGUUUA